rnacentral:tRNA from 1 species
GGGCUCAUAGCUCAGUUGGUAGAGCACUCGAUUUUUUCAAUUAUUUUCGGAUUGAAAAGAGGUGCGGCUCUUAAAAACUGCUGAUGGGAGUGACCGAGGUGUCGUGGGUUCGAAUCCCACUGGGCUCA